rnacentral:tRNA from 1 species
UCCUCGGUAGCUCAGCCGGUAGAGCGGGUGACUGUUAAUCACUAGGUCAGAGGUUCGAGUCCUCUCCGGGGAGCCA